UGGUACUCCUAGGUCUGAUCCAGACUCAUUGCAGAGAUCCGUGAGCUUGGCGUAGCGUUUGGUCCGAGCAAGGAGUUUGGGUGGCAGUAAACACUUGCUGUUGGUCACCAAACGUUACUAAUGAAGACAGAAGAAGACAUAUGAGGAAGUUUUGCCGCGUUUCUUUGUUUUGGAUCUUCAUGGUCAGUUUUUUUGACGUUUCCAUACUUCAGAAACCGUUUAUUUCGCUUACGAAUAACGAGCUAAAUGCAAUUUUGUGAUUCUGUUUUGAUUGAACGCAUUUGAGCUAAUUUAGUAUACAGCAUCUCUGUCGACUAGCUACUGUAGCUAGUUAACAACACAGGAGCCUUGAUGUCAGUCGCUAAGGCUUGCUCAUAUCAUGGAUGGUGAAAACAAACCCUGCCUGCUGCUCUCCUUUACCUUGCCUAAAUCUGAGGGUCCUGAUUGUAACAGAGUGAACAGCAGGCUCCAGAGAUGGCAUCAGUGAAGCAGGAAGACUGCAGUCAAACACUGGGGCUGAAUGUCAACAUUAAAGAUGAAGUAAAGGAGGAAGAGAUUGAAACAUUUGUCUAUCAUGGGCCGGCUGGAGAGUUCAAAGAAAACAGGGAAGAACACCAAGUCUUACUACUCAAAG
ensembl:lncRNA